GUUUUUUUUUUACCAAACCCCGUUACCGGAAGGAGGAAGGGGUCGCGACUACAACCCCGCGCUUUGACAAGAGCGUAUUAAGAAGGCUGUGUCGUGAUACCAGAAGAAGAAGAAGAGUCCCCGGACCUCUCCUAAUGACCCCCUAGAAGGUGAAAGACACUGCCAGCCCACCCCGAAACGGGGGCGAGAAGCCGGUAUUUAUAGUUGUCUGAGAGCGGCCAUUUUGGAUCGUUGGUUACGAUGGAACGCGAUGCUUUGGGGUUCUGUAACGGGGGGAUCCUAAUAAGUUGGUGGAGGGUUCUGUGUCCUCAAAUGGGACGCUCUUUGAAAUUGGGGUGACUUUAUGUGGGGGAUAUGUCAGUUCUUUGGCACUUCAACAAAAAACGAUGGAAUCUACCUCAAUGUGGACAAGCAAGCCUACUUGAUACUGUUACAACCUUUGGGUUACAAUGUAUGACACCGGUGUGCCCCUAAACCGCUAUUCCUCACCUCCUCCGACUGGUGAUUCCGCAAAUCACCCCGACGUACCGGACGUAAACGGUCGGAGAAAGCGCCUCGCGCGGUUGGAGGCAUCUCACAGGCUUCUGUAGACUUGCUGAUCUUGUUUACCAACCUCCCCAAUCCCAUGCAAUAUCUACGCGGUGCUACAGAACUAUAAUCCAUAGUUAGAACGAGUUACAUAACAACUCGAAAAGUAUAUGCUGUGGUAACGACACGUCGGUAAAAUUCCAAAGAAUGAUGGAGGUCCGUAGACCCUACUGAGACCACCAAGUCUGAUUGUUGGCUUCUGGAACCUCGAGAACCCAACCAGAGUCACCAGGAAGGGGAAUUACUUAAAUUACUUACUACUUAUCAGAACGUAAGCACUAAGGCAGAGGGAUGUGGUUUUGCCAAGUUUCUAUAUAUAUUUACGUGAAGAUUUUUUUUUGUAUUGUUCCUCUUGACGUCAAACGUGAAAAAAAAGAAAUACAAAGAUUUUGAGCUUUGAGAUUUGUGUUGAUUCAUUUAAGUGUAAAAUUAAUAAAAAGUUAAUAAAGUAAUAAUGUUUCUUUUUUUAAAAAA